AUGGCUCACCAAGGCGACGAUCCGUAACUGGUCUGAGAGGAUGAUCAGUCACACUGGAACUGAGACACGGUCCAGACUCCUACGGGAGGCAGCAGUGGGGAAUAUUGGACAAUGGGCGAAAGCCUGAUCCAAGCCAUGCCGCGUGUGUGAAGAAGGUCUUCGGAUUGUAAAGCACUUUAAGUUGGGAGGAAGGGCAGUUACCUAAUACGUGAUUGUUUUGACGUUACCGACAGAAUAAGCACCGGCUAACUCUGUGCCAGCAGCCGCGGUAAUACAGAGGGUGCAAGCGUUAAUCGGAAUUACUGGGCGUAAAGCGCGCGUAGGUGGUUUGUUAAGUUGGAUGUGAAAUCCCCGGGCUCAACCUGGGAACUGCAUUCAAAACUGACUGACUAGAGUAUGGUAGAGGGUGGGUGGAAUUUCCCUGUGUAGCGGUGAAAUGCGUAGAUAUAGGAAGGAACACCAGUGGCGAAGGCGACCACCUGGACUAAUACUGACACUGAGGUGCGAAAGCGUGGGGAGCAWACAGGAUUAGAUACCCUGGUAGUCCACGCCGUAAACGAUGUCAACUAGCCGUUGGAAGCCUUGAGCUUUUAGUGGCGCAGCUAACGCAUUAAGUUGACCGCCUGGGGAGUACGGCCGCAAGGUUAAAACUCAAAUGAAUUGACGGGGGCCCGCACAAGCGGUGGAGCAUGUGGUUUAAUUCGAAGCAACGCGAAGAACCUUACCAGGCCUUGACAUCCAAUGAACUUUCUAGAGAUAGAUUGGUGCCUUCGGGAACAUUGAGACAGGUGCUGCAUGGCUGYCGUCAGCUCGKGUCGUGAGAUGUUGGGUUAAGUCCCGUAACGAGCGC
rnacentral:rRNA from 1 species